AUGAACGCUAGCUACAGGCUUAACACAUGCAAGUCGAGGGGCAUCAGGAAGAAAGCUUGCUUUCUUUGCUGGCGACCGGCGCACGGGUGAGUAACACGUAUCCAACCUGCCCUUUACUCGGGGAUAGCCUUUCGAAAGAAAGAUUAAUACCCGAUAGCAUAAUGAUUCCGCAUGGUUUCAUUAUUAAAGGAUUCCGGUAAAGGAUGGGGAUGCGUUCCAUUAGGUUGUUGGUGAGGUAACGGCUCACCAAGCCUUCGAUGGAUAGGGGUUCUGAGAGGAAGGUCCCCCACAUUGGAACUGAGACACGGUCCAAACUCCUACGGGAGGCAGCAGUGAGGAAUAUUGGUCAAUGGGCGCUAGCCUGAACCAGCCAAGUAGCGUGAAGGAUGAAGGCUCUAUGGGUCGUAAACUUCUUUUAUAUAAGAAUAAAGUGCAGUAUGUAUACUGUUUUGUAUGUAUUAUAUGAAUAAGGAUCGGCUAACUCCGUGCCAGCAGCCGCGGUAAUACGGAGGAUCCGAGCGUUAUCCGGAUUUAUUGGGUUUAAAGGGAGCGUAGGUGGACUGGUAAGUCAGUUGUGAAAGUUUGCGGCUCAACCGUAAAAUUGCAGUUGAUACUGUCAGUCUUGAGUACAGUAGAGGUGGGCGGAAUUCGUGGUGUAGCGGUGAAAUGCUUAGAUAUCACGAAGAACUCCGAUUGCGAAGGCAGCUCACUGGACUGCAACUGACACUGAUGCUCGAAAGUGUGGGUAUCAAACAGGAUUAGAUACCCUGGUAGUCCACACAGUAAACGAUGAAUACUCGCUGUUUGCGAUAUACAGCAAGCGGCCAAGCGAAAGCGUUAAGUAUUCCACCUGGGGAGUACGCCGGCAACGGUGAAACUCAAAGGAAUUGACGGGGGCCCGCACAAGCGGAGGAACAUGUGGUUUAAUUCGAUGAUACGCGAGGAACCUUACCCGGGCUUAAAUUGCAGUGGAAUGAUGUGGAAACAUGUCAGUGAGCAAUCACCGCUGUGAAGGUGCUGCAUGGUUGUCGUCAGCUCGUGCCGUGAGGUGUCGGCUUAAGUGCCAUAACGAGCGCAACCCUUAUCUUCAGUUACUAACAGGUCAUGCUGAGGACUCUGGAGAGACUGCCGUCGUAAGAUGUGAGGAAGGUGGGGAUGACGUCAAAUCAGCACGGCCCUUACGUCCGGGGCUACACACGUGUUACAAUGGGGGGUACAGAAGGCAGCUAGCGGGUGACCGUAUGCUAAUCCCAAAAUCCUCUCUCAGUUCGGAUCGAAGUCUGCAACCCGACUUCGUGAAGCUGGAUUCGCUAGUAAUCGCGCAUCAGCCACGGCGCGGUGAAUACGUUCCCGGGCCUUGUACACACCGCCCGUCAAGCCAUGGGAGCCGGGGGUACCUGAAGUACGUAACCGCAAGGAUCGUCCUAGGGUAAAACUGGUGACUGGGGCU
rnacentral:rRNA from 1 species